UCCCGGCGCCGGCCAAAGCGCGCCCCGCUUCCGGUCCCACUGCGCACGCGCGCUCUUGCCAGCCCUCCCCGGGGCGCGGCCUCGCAGCGAAGCGCGCGUGCGCCCGCUCGCCCUAGCGGGGGCGGCCGGUGGCUCCGGGCUCUCCGCGGGGCCAGCUCCCGCCAAGCCGGCUGCUCCGUGCCGCACGGGCUACGGCAAACGGUCCCCACGGCGCCCCGCUCUCCUGCUCUGCAGGGCCCAUGCUGCCUCCCUGAGCGCUUGGUGCGCACGGAAAGAGGUGCUGGAGAGCAGCAGCCCCACGCCAAGGAGGUCCUGGCUGGGGGCCGGGGGGGGGCCCUGCUCUGAAGGCAGCACCGCCAGCAGCGGGGCAGAGUAAACUUCUGGCAGACAGGAAAACUCUCUUGAAAAAUAGUAUGGACCUUCACAGGACGCUGACGCAUGGGAAUGUUUGGACGUCAAUGAUAAAGACCUCAAUGUCAAAUUGGACCACAUCCAUCACAUUUUGCAACACAAGAAGCACUCUCCACUCCAAGAUCUCCAAUUCGUUCAUGAUGCAGAGCUGAAGGACACUUUUCCAAUGUAUGGAUAGCUUUGAAGGUUCUGCUCACACUGCCAGUCACAGCAAUUAUACCUGCAAAUUGUUCAUCAAAGUUGUGAAAUGGGCUACAAAUGUAAUACAAAAUAAAGGUAUUCAAAAGUUUUAAGAAAUGGAGGCAGUGGUGCCAAAAAUACUCCUCAGGUGGGAUUCCAUUUGGUCUAGGGCUGUCCCUGUUAGCAGCUUCUAUGUUCACUAAAAAUAAAAAUAUAUAAACAAGUGCAAAAACUGGCAUAAAGAGUAUACAUUUUGGACUUGGACAUACAUUAUCUGCUAUUAAACAGUCUACAAAAAAUAAUAAUUUGAUUAGGCUAAUCAAUAUUGCAAAAGUUGAUUCCAGUGCAUAUGCUGAAGAAAAUCUCUUAGGAAUUAAUUUAUAGGGAAAUUCCUCCUGUGCAAACCCAUACAUUCUAGCUUUAACAACACUACACAUCUGCAAUGUCUGUCUCAGAAUCAGCAAGAAAACAGGCUUUAUCUCUCACAACAUGUGCUAUAUAUAGCCAACAGGAGUCUGUCAUAUGUGAUUUUACUUCAGGAUACAAAGACUGUAUGGUUUCAGAGUGGUUAGUGUUGUGGAGGAAAAAUUCAGUGGACCCAAGUAGGCCUAAACUUCCCAAAGUAGUAAACUUUGGUCAAGCUAACUGUAUAUAUGAAGCAUAAGAAAAGAGUGGAAAAUUCCAUUGUAAGGCAAUGGCAGCAGCAUAGCUUAAGAAACGUUAACUGCAGAAGAACAUCUGUCAAUAACAGGAAAAGCUUGUUUUGCCAUAUUCCAAAUAUAGCCCCUUCGAAAAGGUAAGAGACCUUUUGAAAUCUCUGUAUUGGGUUUCUGGUGGAGGACCGCCCAUAGGCUCUGGGCUUGGGUAAGUUGUACGGUCUAUCUGGACUUUUGCUGCCAGACAUGCCUGAUGCCCUUGGGGUGGGUCAGAGUCCCAUCCAGGUUUGGUUUCCCCGGGAAGAGCCACUGAGUGUGGCUGGGUAGGUCGUGGAUAGAUCUGGUUCCAUGUGCCAGUGUGAAAGUGAAGGUCGAUAGAGCGGUGUGAAUUGAGUCAGGUACUGGGGGCUGGAGGGUCCUGACCUCAGCAGUCUCCCUCUGCAUGGCAUGACCAGCGAGGGGCUUGUCUGGGUCUAGGAGUGUGUGAUUCCAUCCUUUCCAUCCUCAGAUGGUCUGUUUCCGUACCCUCUUUUCUCCCCUGUCUCUGGCUUCUGCCUGAAGGCGGUUUGGCAAGCCACUGACUGGUCUGAUCACCUCUCCUGAAGCAACAGAGUAUGCGGCGCUAGCUGACGCUCUUUGCUGAAGGGGUCUGUAAGACAGUCAUGGAGACCCUAAACAAAAACCUUCCCUGUGUGAGUGUGACGAGUAAAACAUCUGUAGGGAUUCUAGGAGUCGGGGGUCCAAAAGGGAUUCCUGCAUUCGCCAGCAAAAGAUGGGGGCUGGUGGGUCAAGAAGGAUCACUGUCCUGCCAAAAGGCACACACUAGUUCACUUGCAACUUUCUGGAAAAAUUUGAAUUGGUAUAUCAGAGAUAGGGAUAAUUUAAAAUUAUGAUUUCCCUUAGGGGGAAGUUUCGACCUUGACAACAUUGUGCACCUCAGAAGUGCCAAUGUCAGUGUGAGGCAUAUUUCUACUCUCAUAAAGAAACAAACAAAAAACCGCCAUGAAUCUCAAAUAAGGGGUCUCAAGGACUCCCAGGAGAAACUUACAACACAAUUAAAAUAGAGAAAGAAAAUUGGCAAAGAAUUUAAAUCCAACUAAGCCAGCAAGAAAUAUUAAGCAACAGAAGCCCCUUACAUUCACCCCUCAGACAGUGACUCUCUGUACUGAGGAAAUGCUCCCCUUGCGCCAAUUCCCAGGCGUUGGUGCUUCUGGUCAUAGGACCUUGGUGUCUGCACAUGCACCUUCGUCUCCUAUAAAAUUGUAUAAUUUACUUAAACGUUUUCCAAAAAUAAGAGGACCCUGAGAAAUUGCAAAUUGUUACAAACUGUUAUAACCCUACAUGGGCAAAUUUAAACCAAUUCUACGAGGGGUCAUGUUAGGGAAACACUGAAUUGCCUUUGUAAAAAAGAUCAGUGGCCCAAGCAAAAUCCAGGCCCUAACCAAAAAAAAAAAGGGGGUUAAAUAAAAUCAGAAAAAGCUGCUAAAUAAAAUUCUCACAGUCUACCCAAAGAAAGCUGACUGGAGCAAAAAUUAGCACCUGUAAACAAAAGUAGAAAUAAGAAUUUGAAUAAAACCCAAUACUCUCACCGCCAGAUUAAAACUAUGUUAAUGACCUUCCAGCUCCAGAAUAAACAGGGACCCCGUAAUAGCCACCCAUUGCAGGGGAAGAAGGGGAAGGUCAAACCUAGGUCCCCACCUUUUACCUCACCUAGAAAUCCAGUGAUGGCGCGUGUUACUAUUGCAAGCAAAUGGGCCAUUGGAUACAGUAAGUGUCCCUACUGCCUGGUCGAUCCAAAAGCGGUAGGGGUGGGCAAUACUCUUAUUCCCCGCCCCAUCUCUUCACCUCUGUCCGUUUCUAUCAGUCCUUUGUUUGACCAUCAAGUUUUCCUCCUCAGUCCUUUUGGGAAAAGACUUGCUGAGUAAGUUAAAUUGUAUAAUCUGCUGUACCCCAAAUGGUGUGUAUCUGGACGUGCCUGAUCCCGCUUACAAUAAGGUCCUGGUAGUUUACAGGAGAAGACUGACCCUAGCCCUUCCUCGUUGCAACAGGAACUGCUGGCUAAGGUCUCUCCCUCCUUGUAAGCUGAUCAUGCCAACCAGGUUGGGUGCAUUGGGUCUGCCCAACCCAUUAAGAUUCACCUAAACCCAGCAAGACCCCUUCCCGAGGUGCAGCAGUACCCUCUAUCAAAAUAGGCCAAGAAAAAAAUCCAACCUGUUCUUACCUCCUGCAUUCAGCAAGGAGGUCAUUAUUCCUACGGUCACCGAGUAUAACUCCCCCAUUUUACUGUGCUGUUAAUGCUGCUGUACCUUUCCUGUUGUUCCUAGCCCUGCUACUAUCCUUUCCUACAAAGCACUGGUGUUGAGGGGUUGUUACCGCUGCAAAUAAGGAAAAGGCUGUAUUAAGUCCAAACAUAAAAGGAUUAAGGUUAUUGUUAAAUAAGAUGCAUCUAAAUAUAAAAAAAUAAGUGUGUGUGUAAAUAGGUGUGUAUAAAUAAAUAAAGGGGGGGGGUUAGUCAAAAAAGCCCACCCUCCUUGCUAAAUUGGUAGUAAAACAAUGCCUGUGCCCAUGAAAAAAUAAUGCAACCAAAAAAAAAAAAAAAAGGAUCGGGCCCAGACAAGCAGGCAACCACAGUUUGAAAAAGUUAAAAGAAAAGAAAGUGAGAGGUUUACUCUGUAGUUACUGGAGAAAAUUAA